rnacentral:rRNA from 1 species
CCCUAUGGGGUGCUGUCGUCCAACCUCAUUCUGCUGGGUUGAUCGACCCGUUUUCAACAAGCCUUUAGAGACGUUUGAUCCUGACGGCGCGCAGGGACCCGUCUGCCUGUACGCCAGCGCGCACCUCAACCGAGUUGCCCGGUGCCGGGUUCUUGUCCAUACGUGUGCCCGAAUCCACCGCAAGGGCAACCCCAUCGAGUGCCCACCGUCCCGUGAGCGUUCCCUUCAAGCGUAUGUUGGCCCCGACGGGCACAGCAGCUGCCUUUCCCUCUGCGCUUCGAGCACCCUGAGCAAUCCACCGGGAGAUUUUUGCCGUGUCCUGGUCAUCGAGGUAUGGGGGACCGUCCAUGGGCAUGCGGGGGGGC